rnacentral:rRNA from 1 species
UACGGAGGGUGCGAGCGUUAAUCGGAAUAACUGGGCGUAAAGCGCACGCAGGCUGUCACUUAAGUCAGAUGUGAAAGCCCCGGGCUUAACCUGGGAAUUGCAUUUGAAACUGGUUGUCUAGAGUCCUGUAGAGAGGGGUAGAAUUCCAUGUGUAGCGGUGAAAUGCGUAGAGAUGUGGAGGAAUACCGAAGGCGAAGGCAGCCCCCUGGACAAAGACUGACGCUCAUGUGCGAAAGCGUGGGGAGCAAACAGG